CAUAGUGUGCCACUCCGGCGUGCCCGCCAAGUGCCAACUUCGGUUACACUCGACUUCUUUCGACAUCCCGAACACACGGACGUGGGUAACUUUCAUUGUGUGCAAUCCCACAGUGGCACAGGGAGAGGGUACGAUUUACCCACGAUCUGGCAGCACAGGCUCUUCCCAGUCGUUUCCCGCGAUUUUCGUUCAAGUGACGUGGCAGAAACCAAAAGAUGGAUUACCAGCAGCCUAGUUUACUAGAAGUGCAAAACGAUCAGCCAUCCUGUGGGAAUUUCAGGAAUUCUUUGAAGUAGAGUCACGACAAAUUUUAAAAUUUUCAAGUACAAGAUGGCUCGUCUUACAGAAGUGUGUUACAAGACUUCUCGAUAAUUGGGAAGUUUAAAAACAUUACUUGUACCUGGAAACUUUAGAAAAUAAAAAUAAUUUGACAGCAUCUAUUUUAAUUUCUUUAAACGACUGUAAAAUUAAAGCCUUUAUGCUAUUUUUAAAGUAUUCUUUAAAUUCUUUUAACGAUUUAAAUGUUUUGUUCCAAGAUAGAAAAAUUUUAAUACAUAAAUUGGCAGACACUACUGAAUUUCAAAUUUUUAGAUGCAAAUAUAGCUUUGCGCGAGGAAAGUAGAUUGCCCCUUUCUAGAUUUAAGAAAUGUAGCAAGCUAUCGUUUUUGAUGACGAAAACAAAUCUCUUUUGGCCAAUUUAGAAAUUGAUGAUACGUCGAAGACUAUCUUUGAAAAAAAAAAUUUUUAAAUGAAGAACCGCUUUUUCUAAAUUUAGAAGUUUUAGUUCAAGCAGUUUUAUUUCUUCCAGUAUGCACAGGUGCAUGAUUCUUUGCGCAAUAUUAGGAUAUUUUUAUUUAUGUUUUUUUAUAUAUUUUAUGAAAUAAUAUUUACUAUAUAUUUUGUUUUCUUUUUUUUAUUUAUUUUUUACUUCAUGAGGCAAACAUAUGUAUGUGAUUAAUCUGUGAUAAAUAUCUUGGUUUUAGCAACCUCCUGAGGUUGCUUAACCGGAGCAUAUUUUUAUUUAAACGAGAUUUUAAUUUAUUAUGUAAAUAGUAUAUUCUUAUAUAUGUUUUAUAUAUAAUGUUUUUGUUUGAAUACUAGUAAGGUUUUCUGCAGUUUUCCUUACUCUCGCAACAAAUGUUGUUAUUCAUGUAAUAAAUUGGCUGCAGAUGUACAAAAUAAUAAAAAAAUAUAUAUUCAUUUAUUUCCAUGUAAA